rnacentral:lncRNA from 1 species
AGAAGAAGCUGGGAGAUUUGAUGAUAGAAUUUCCUACCGUACCAUUCCGAAGGAGAUUUGGCUCAAGUCUCACAAAGGCUACGAGGCCUUCGAAUCAAGACGUUCUACUUUGGAGGCUAUAAAAAAAGCAUUGAUCGAUGUUAGUGUCAGCAUCAUUGGGGUGUACGGCAUGGGCGGCACUGGAAAGACGACACUGGUGAAGAAGGUCGCCAGGCAAGCUAUGGAAGACGAGCUCUUUGAUAUGGUGGUCUUUUCAGAGGUUUCCCAAAUUCCAGACAUAAAAAGGAUUCAACAGGAAAUUGCCGAGAAGUUGGGCCUGGAGUUGCACGAGGAAGUUGAAUCUAGAAGAGCAUGUAGACUAUUUGAGCGAUUGAGAAAUGAGAAGAAGAUCCUUGUGGUUUUAGAUAACAUCUGGAAGCACCUUGACUUGGAGACAGUUGGAAUUCCUUUUGGAGAAGAUCAUAAAGGCUGCAAACUACUGCUGACAGCAAGAGAUCGUGGCGUCCUCUUAAAAAUGGGAUCUAAAGACAACUUCUUGAUUAACAAUUUAAAUGAAGAAGAACCUGGAGAUUGUUUAAGAUGAUGGCCGGUGAUGAUGUUGAAAAUCGUGAGUUGAAAUCUACAGCAAUAGACGUCGCCAGGGCAUGUGGAGGUUUGCCCAUUGCCUUGACUACAGUAGCAAAGGCACUGAGAGGCAAGAGUCUGCAUGAAUGGAAGAAUUCCUUGAGAGAACUCCAAACGCCUUCAAUGGUAAACUUCGAAGGAGUAUCUGCAGAGACUUAUUCAAGUAUUGAGCUGAGUUUCAACCAUUUAAAAGGUGAGCAACUCAAGAAAAUUUUUCUGCUCUGUAGUCUAAUGGAUAACCGUAUUCUUACUUCGGACUUGUUUAAGUACUCCAUGGGUUUGGGUAUAUUUAAAGGAGUCAAUAAGAUGGAAGAUGCACGAGACAAAUUAUAUGCAUUGGUCCAUGAACUUAGACACUCUUGUUUGUUGCUUGAGGGUGAGAGCAAUGAAGAAUUUUCAAUGCAUGAUGUUGUUCGUGAUGUCGCAAUAUCAAUUGCAUGCCGCCACCAACAUGUGUUUUUGGUGAGAAAUAAGGAUGUGUGGGACUGGCCAGAUGAGGAUGCACUUCGAAAAUGCAAUGCGAUCUCUUUAAGAUAUAAUAGUAAUCGUGAAUUUCCUGAAGGAUUAGAAUGCCCAAACCUUGAAUUUUUAUUUAUCUCUAUCAAAUAUUCUUCUCUUGAAAUCAAUAUUCCUGAGAACUUUUUUGUAGGGAUGAAAAAGCUUAGAGUUCUAGAUUUUACUCGAAUGCAGUUUUCUUCUUUUCCAUCUUCAAUUGAUCUUCUACCAAAUCUUCACACACUAUGUCUGGAUCAAAGUGCGUUGGGGGACAUAGCAAUCAUUGGGAAGUUGAAGAAUCUAGAAGUCCUUAGCUUUUUGAAGUCUGAUAUUAUGCAGUUGCCCGAAGAACUAGGUCAAUUGAAUAAGUUGAGAUUGUUAGAUUUAACAAAUUGUUUCCAACUGAAAGUUAUUGCGCCCAAUCUCAUAUCAAGCUUAACUCGACUAGAAGAGCUGUAUAUGGGUAAUUGCUUCAUUGAAUGGGAGGUUGAAAGAGCCAACAGCAAAAGAAGUAAUGCUAGCCUUGACGAAUUGAUGCAUUUACCUCGGCUAACCACUCUAGAAAUUGACGUUAAAAGUGACAAUAUUUUACCAGAAGGUUUUUUGGCCAGAAAGCUCGAAAGGUUCAAAAUAUCUAUUGGAAAUGGGUUAUUCAUGCAUCCCAUGAGUGUUGGACAACAUUGGUUUAAAAGUCGGCCGCGCUUUUCGAUCAACAGUGAUCGCAAGAGUUUAAGAUCAUUGAAGCUCAAGCUUGAUUUUAUGGACAUUUGCUCCAUGAAAUUGCAGGGCAUCAAUAACGUUGAAUACUUAUGGUUGGACAAGCUGCAAGGCAUCGAGAAUGUUCUUUUCAAUUUGGACACGGAGGGCUUUUCACAAUUGAAGCUUCUCUGGGUUCAAAAUAAUCCUGACGUCUUUUGUAUCGUCGAUUCAAGGGAGAUGGUCGCUUGUGAUGCCUUUCCUCUUUUGGAGUCACUUACCAUUCACAAUUUGAUCAACAUGGAGAGGAUAUGUAUUGAUCGGCUCAAAGUAGAGUCUUUCAACAAACUCAAAAACAUAGAAGCAUAUAAUUGUGAUAAAUUGAGUAAUAUCUUUUGGCUCUGUACUACAAAAUGCCUUCCAAGACUUGAGAGAAUUGCAGUUAUUAAUUGCAGCAAGAUGAAAGAGAUUUUUGCAAUUGGGGAAGAAGUUGAUAAUGCAAUUGAGAAGAUAGAGUUUGCUCAAUUAAGAUCUUUGAGUCUGGGGAAUCUUCCAGAGGUUACAAGUUUUUGCUGUGAGGUGGAGACUCCUUCAGCAUCACCGAACAGACAAGUGUCACAACACGAAUCGACGACUAUGUUUUGCUCCAGCGAAAUCACUUUGGAUAUUUCAACUCUGCUUUUCAACGAGAAGGUGCGUAGGCUAACAUUUUCUUUAUAUAUAUAUAUAUAUAUAUAUAUAUAACAGACUUUAUUCUAUCAUACGUUCUCUUUUGAUGUCAUACGUGGAAAAUAAAUACAUCAUUUAAAGAAUUGAAAGAAAAUGGAAAAAAAGGAUAAAAAGAAUCUCACGCGCUCACUAAUUAAGCUCUUAACAAGUAGUAUGAAUUAGAAUGCAUUCUCAGCUGUCAGUUGGAAAUUGAUUCUGACUUGCAUUAUUUUGUAAUCAAAGAAGAAAAUUUCAACAAGUGCUUCCCAUAUGGAUGGAUCUAACGAGAAAUUCUUAUUUUUUUAGGUUGCGUUGCCUAACUUGGAGGCUUUGGAGAUAUCUGCAAUUAAUGUCGACAAGAUUUGGCACUACAAUCAAAUUCCGGCGGCCGUGUUUCCUCACUUUCAAAGUUUAACACGAUUAGUUGUGUGGUACUGUGACAAACUGAAAUACAUAUUUUCAGCGUCUAUGAUCGGAAACCUCAAGCAGCUCCAACACCUAGAAGUACGCUUCUGUGAGGAUUUCUGAGAACAGAGCAGAUGAAGUGAUCCCUUAUUUUGUCUUUCCACAGCUCACCACUUUGAGACUCCAAGGUCUACCAAAACUUAGAUGUUUGUACCCUGGAAUGCAUACUUCGGAAUGGCCCGCGCUAGAAAUUCUUUCAGUGCAUCGUUGUGACAAAUUAAAGAUAUUCACUGAAGAUUUAUCGCAGAAUAAUGAGAACGAUCAACUUGGCAUUCCUGCACAACAGCCCCCAUUGCCGUUGGAAAAGGUAUGAAGCCAUUUUCUAGAUUUUUUGUCUACAGCUUAUUUUUAACUUUGAAAAAUAUGGCAAAGCAUCGAUAAAUUAAUACUCAAUAAAUUGAAAACUUUUAUUAUACAAUAAUCUUUGUUAGUCUAGAUUAAGAGAUCAAUGUGGUAGAUUAAUAAUUAUAUGAACUUUUUUUGGUAGAGCAUUUAUAAAAGAAUCCUUAGUCUUUCCAUAUAGAAGAACUUACAAAAUAAAUUAGUAAUUUAUUAUUGUGCAAUAAAAUAAUUUCGAGCCAGUAUAAAUCAACCUUUUUCCCUAAUUUCUUUUUUACCUCUAAAAUUAACAUAUAAAAUAAAUUUUAUCAAUAAUUCAAUUUUUUUAAAAUAUAAUAUAAAACAAAUAUUAUAAAGUCACUGCGUGUGACCGUAGAUCAUCAAUUGACCUCAUUAGUUAUUAUGAUUGAUGAUGAUCAGAUCGUACCCAACUUGAAGGAACUAUCACUAAGUGGAAAAGAUGUGAAGAUGAUUUUGCAGGCCGAUUUCCCACAACACCUUUUUGGCAGUCUUAGAGAACUAGAGAUUGCUGCAGAUGACACAGCUUGUUUUCCAAUCUGGAACGUACUGGAGAGAUUUCACAAUCUCGAAAUACUCACACUGUCUGUUUUUUUCAUUCGACGAAGAGGUAUUUUCGAAGGAAGGAUGCUUGGAGAAACAUUUGGGGAAGUUGGCAAUGAUAAAAGAAUUAAAGCUGUACCGGCCCUAUCAUCUGAAGCAGCUGUGCAAACAAGAUUCCAAACUUGGCCCCAUUUUUCAGUAUCUUGAAAUUCUAGGAGUAUAUCAUAGUCAAAGUCUGUUAAUUCUAUUGCCAUCAUCAUCGGUAUCUUUUCGGAACCUAGCAAAACUUGUAGCUUUCGGUUGCAAGGAAUUGAUACACUUAGUAACAUCCUCCACAGCAAAAACUCUAGUGCGACUGGUCAAAGUGCAAGUAUAUGGAUGCAGAGCAAUGACAGAGGUGGUAAUAAAUGACAAAGAUGGAGUUGAAAAAGAAGAGAUUGUUUUCUGCAAAUUGAAGACGUUGCAACUGUUUGAUUUAGAUAGCCUCACAAGUUUCUGCUCUGCCAAUUACACCUUCAAAUUCCCAUCUUUGCAAGAGUUGUGGGUGAUUGGUUGUCCCAAGAUGAAGACUUUCACUACAGGAGAAUCAAUCACGCCUCUAAGAGUAAACGUCUGCUAUGGAGAGACAUCGAAUCAACGGCGUUGGGCUAAUAAUGAUCUAAACACAACCAUACAACAAUUACAUGCUGAGAAGGUACGUAUAUACAUAUUACUCUCUAUCUCCCAUGAUAAUUUUUUACAAAAUUUGCUUUCUUAAAUACAAUAUAGAUAAGAUAUUUGAUGAAUAAGAAUUUUACUUUCAGCUGUUGGCGGUGUCGUCGUCAUACUCUACGCAGUACGACUAAUUUCAUAGGCUUCUUAUGACUUGGAGUUGCAAAUUUUUAGAAGAAAGUCUCAACUGGUAAUUAAUUUUUAUUUCAUUUAUUUAAUCCCAUGGCUUGUUUCGCAAUUUCAUCUGAAUUAUUUAGAAUGGGUCCCUCGGUUUACUGUUAAAUUUGCAAUGCAAUUUUAAUGAUCCUUUCAGACUUUUAUGGACAGAUUUUGCAUAGUUGAAUGUCUUUUUAGUCUACUUUAAUUUGAGUUUUUCAUUUUUUUUUUAGAGCUCCCCUUGUUUUCUAAAAUUUUAUAAUUCCUUGCAUACUUUUUAUGAUAAAAUUUCAUUAAAAGCCUUCAUAUUUUAUAAUUCAUUGAAAACGUGCAUACUUUUUCCUUUUUUUUCUUUGCCAAUUAUUUAUUGUCAUCAUUGCUGUUCUUUUAUUUUAGUUUGUGCUCUGUUUGUUCAUUGGGUUUGCUUUUCGGAAAGUUAGAAGGCAAGGAAAGUACUUAGAAAAUGUUCUUCCCUAUGAACACAUAAUUCACAGCUGAAUAUCAUUCAUUGGAUUCAAAAAAAUUAAAAUAAAAAAAAAAAGUAAUCAGCCCAUUAUUCCCAGAACAAAUCCUUAAACCAUCAAACGUUAGCUAUGAACAAGUAUAUUGGUCUAUAGCAUAUUCAUAAUAUUUUUUCUGCUGUUCUGGUUAAAAUUUCUCUACUCUGUGAUUGCAGAAUGUCUGGAUACUGAUGAAGAUUUAAGUCACUCUUCUUCUGUGAAUAAGGUCGUUUUUCUUUUUUCCUCUAUUCAAAAUUUCCAUUCUGAGGGGUUCCCAUUUCCAUCUUCGUGAUCUUCUUGUGAUAGUAUGAGUUACAACCUGUCUGUUUCCUUUAUUUGAUCAUCGCAAGUUCAAAGACAUUUUAUUCUAGCUAAGCUCUUUGUAUGUAUUAUAACAUUUUUAUUCUCAAUAUAUAGAACUCAAUGAGAGGUCUUUUAUUAUACAUGUGUCAUGAAUUUCUAUUGUAUUUUGAGAUUUGAUGGUGUGUUAUCGUCCCAUUGCAAGGUCUUGUAAUCACUCUGAUUCUCAUUUGAGGAGGUUGGUCUCGUCUAUGUGUAUGUAUUUAUAUCCACAAGAAAUUUGAUAAAUGGUCUGGUCAUUUUCUCAUUAAAACAUCUAGUGCUUCAUAUGUUGGAGGGCUACCAGGCAUCAGGGCCAGAUUUUUAAACUCUUCUUCGUGUCAUUUUUUAACAAUAAUAAGGAAGCCCAAGAGAAAAUCUAGAAGUCCUAAUAAGGACCGCUUCUGUAUUGUUCAUUUUCUUAAUUACCUUCAUUAUUAUUUUCGUUUUCAGUUGAUCAAACUUCAGUUCCUUAGCAUUAAUCUAAUUAUGUACUUCAUCUAGAAAUCCUUAAUUUACUCAUCAAAAUGUGAACGCUUAGAAAACUAAGGCAAUAAAUAUAAAGGUACUACCUAAGUUUAUCAUCACAUAUGAUCACCACUUGAUAAUCAAAUAAUCAUAAAAGCAUAUAAAUUCAAAUUAGUGUAUCAUUUACACUAUAAGAAAUAGUUGUAUUACCGACCAGACAUUUCCACAAUAUACUUUUUACACUAUAAAUGCUUUUGAUGGGCUUCAUCUUUGGUUUCGGCUUCGCCGACAAAUAUCUCACAAACAUUCUGCCUUCAAGCAACAACACAACUCCCACUCUAAAUGUAUUUUAUACACUCUCAAACGCACCGUUUUGAUUUGUGUUAUAAAUUUGACGCUGCCAUUGUUUUUUUGUUUUUGACAGGCAUGGCUUUUCUUUUUAAGCCUUUCCUUUUAUCUUUUAUAGCCAUCUUCCACAUCAUUUCUCUUCCAAGUAAUCUUAAGAAAUAUUUCUGUUCUUCUUCCAAGUAAUCUUAUCAUUUCUCUCAUUUUAUUCGUUCUUCUCUUUUCAAGUCUUCAAUCUUAUACUCAGUAAAUAUAUUAAACUGCUUUUUCACUUCAGUUCCAGACAACUGAGAAGGUGUUUGUCCCUACUCUCUAGUUUUAUUCAAAGACACUAUAUUUUCGAAACCUAUGAUUUGUUGGGAAAAAUCGACGGUGACCCACGUGACAAAAUUUUCUACUAUGUAUCAACCAAUUAGAUCCAGUGCUUUGUUGGCAAACAAGACAUGCUUAUUUACCUUUAAUACUCCACCCAGACAAGUUGCCACUGAUAGUUCAUAACAAUGCUACGUGUAACUUGAACAUUUGAUUACGUGAUGUACUGUAUCAUUCCAACCAUAUCAUCAUCAGCCACUUCCCUUAUAACGAAAUAUAGAUUACAACACUUAUCAAGAAGGACAAUAAAUUCUUGUACCACCAACAACAUUCUCAAAUACAAAAUCUAUAAAUUUUUCAACGCCAUCAGUAUAUGACUUGGAUAUCUAUUUGGCAAACCAACCCAACACUUGUCCAUGACUAUCUCCUUUUAAUGCGCUAAAAAAAUUAGUUCUUCAUUUCUACUACUAAACAAGAUAUUUUCGUGUGUGCACAGUUUUGCAAUAUAAUAAAAAGAUCAUUUUACAAUUUUAUGGUUAAUUUCAUUAGAAUUUACAUAUAUGAAAGCAAACAAAGCCACAAGAAUCAGAGAAAAAGAUGUGACAAUCAAAGUAUAUAAUCAACGAUAAUUAAUGUAAAAAACAGUUUCCAAUACCUUCUGUAAAGAAAUAUCCUUGCCAAGUGCUGAGAACUUCACUUGGCUAUCAAUUACAGAUAUAUAAAGCCUGUAACCUAGAAACAAAAAAUUAGGUCAGCAAGUCCUGAAACAUUUUUAUAAACCAACAUUGGAGAUAGCACUCCAUUUACAAACAAAAUUACAAGCUCAAAACCAAGGUCAACUCAGCAAAAUCAUCACCAAUUACAUUCAUCCAACUCAGCUCCUACACUACCCUCAAUAUAUCCAACAUUCCCUUCAUAUUUACCAACCGUAAGUAAUCCUACAUAUCCCACUCAAGAAUGCGUAAGUAUUUUCAAUCUCAAGUACCUAAAGUUUUAUUCUACAUUUAUAAAAAUUUCAGCACCAUCUCCCUAUAAUUCUCCAAGCACGCGACAUAGCUAUAUAAGUGUUUAUGCGUUAUGCCAAAACAACACAACACCCAUUCACCUAGUACGUUCCCAGAGAACACGAGGAGCAGCUACUGAAAAACCCAUUUUUACGUGGGAAGAAACUUCAGCUACUAGCUACCAGAGAGAAGUAUGCAUUCCCAAACUGUCCAAGCCCGGACAAUUCAAGAAUUAUUAAUAGACAUAUGAUCCUCACUAUCAUCCAAAUAUGACACUAAUAAAACAUGUGUCUAUUAAUAAUUUCUUAAACAAGUCUAAGCUUUUAAUGCACGUAUCAAAAGUUUAAAAUUGAAUCUGAAAUUUGAAUAACACAUAAAUAUCAUAAAUCUUUUCAAGUUAUUCCUGAUACAAUGUAGGCAUGUAGCAUUAUUUCACAUAUCAUUUCUUAAGCAAAACCAUAAAAAAAUACAAAUGAUAAAUACAUUUUCGUACUGAUGCAGAUUAUGUUUACUGAGCAAUAAGUUUUAAGUCAUUCAUGUUGAAAUACUUCUUCCUAUUCUUUCAACAUAUAACUAGUACGUACACACAAUUAAUAAAUAAAUAAAUAACCUGGUGGUGAAUCUUGCAAAAUCUUCCUUUUUUUUGUGGGGGGGGGGGGGGGGGGGGGGGGGGGGGGGGGGGGGGGGGGGGGGGGGGGGGGGUGGGGGCGCUAUGAAUCUUGCAAAUCCUCGGGAAGCCAUGUUAAGACAAGGCCAGCUUACUAUUAGGGUAUGAAAGAUAAAACCUUUUAUUUCCUUUUCAGAAUAAAAAGGACAUUGACAGUGUUAAAAAAAAUCUAGAGGAUUUCAGGCCUCCAGAUCCUUACAAAUCAAGGAUAUUAAAAAAAAUUACUUAGAGGAGAAAGGUUAUGCUCAUUUGUAUCUUGUUAGAAGAAAUUGAUCCAAAGCCUCAGUUUUAAUUUGCUUCAUACAGCCAAUGACUAGGUGUUUAAAAACCAAUGAAUAUUUUUAUAAGAAAUCAACAAUAUUGUUGAAAGAAAAACCAAAUAAAAAUAAUAAAGCCAAUGAAUAGAUCAAGGCUCUUUAUGGUCUAAUAACUAAUCAAACUAAGUUGUGGGCAAAGGCGAAUAUGUUUGUUUGGUCGAAAAUAAGCUCAACAAAUCACUAAUAAUCACCUAAUCACUAUUCUUUAUGCUAUGCAAUAUAAUGGCCUGGGUAAUGGCGCCAAGGCAGAAAAUAACUAGCUAGCCAGUUAUGAUAGUUGAUUAACUUAACCUACUGGAAAUCCGAAGACCAAAACGAAGAAGCUUUGCCUAGAACUAGAAUAGGAACAUUCAUACCCAAAACUAAUAUACACGAUUAAGAAACUUGAUUAUAUGUAUAUUUCUGUUGGCCACACUGAAAGAGAAUUUUCAAAAGAUGCUAAGGUACACCAAAUCCCACUAUUUCAUACUCAUAAACACAAAAAACCAAGGAAAAAAUUAAUGACUAUAUAAAAUAAAAUCGGUCAUAGGACAUUGAGAUUAGGACAACUUGAUUUGUAUACCGUAAAAUAACUAUAUCUGCAUAGUGAACUAUAUUUCUGUUAGAACUCUGAAGUUUUCUAUUAAAUUUUUUUCUCUGUUAGGUAAACCACUUAACUGAAAUGCUUAAGCCAAUAUUGACAAUCAUAGACAUAAAAGUAUUAAUAGGCUCAUUCAAGUGAAAUGAGCAUUAUUUUACACAUCCUUUAGGAUUUUAAGUCAUUUAGAAGUCAUUCAUGUUAAAAAAAAAAAAAAUUCAUAUACUUUCAAUAUAAUUAGUACAUACACAAUUAAUUAAUUAAAUAAAUCUGUUUCAGCUAGUAUAGGAACUUAAUUAAUCAAAGCUAGUAGUUAUAGCUAGGACUUGAACGAGGCACCUUUCAAAGUUCAAGAAGAGCAUCUGAACAGAAUGAAAGCACUUUGUAGAAAUGAUAAUGAUGCUUUACACAAUAUGAACUUUCAUUUAUUCAAGAACAUAACACUACUCCAAGCUCUUAUUCUACGAGUCAAUCCAGUUUGUAGAUGCACGCCAUUGUAAAAGCUUUUGUAUUAUAAUUUCUGAAAAUAGAACAUAACAUUAUUAAUAUAGAAUCAGCAAUGUAUAUAACUUAUCAGACAAUAUAACAAGCACUUGGUGAGCAUACAAGAUAAACCAAAACAAGUUAUCUAGAAAAUGAAACUAAAACCCAAGCUCCGCUAUUCAUUGUAGAUGCUUUAAACAUAAAAUUAAACUAAAUCUAAUAGCAAAACAUUAGAAUGGAUGUUGGAAUUAAAGCUAAAUUCAAUAGUAAUUCAAAUGAAUCCAUUUGAACUUUGUAAAUUCCGCAGAACAAAAUUAAUUUGAGUGAGCAAACUCACCAAUGGAACAAGAACGCAGGGGCUUCAACUUGUACGAAUAAAAAAAUAUUGCUGGCGGGACAAAAAUUGACAAUAACGGCUACAAUACGAAUUAAAAAAAAUCAAAGUCUAUAAUUACAAGUUAAGUAAGAGAAGAAACUCAUAAUCACAAGCUUACCUCAAAAGAUGAAGGGAGAAUACGAUGAAGAAGAAGAUGCCCGGCGUUUUACGCCGUUCGCUGGCAACCAGUUAUGUUUACGAUGGUGGCCAGUAACACGGACUCCAGCGAAUACUUUUCUAACUGGAAAUAAAUUUAAAAUUCUAAAAUAUUAGUAUACCGAACGGCUCUUCACCGUCACGCAGUUCGUAACAUAUGUGACAGCAGUGUGGCCGUCACAUAAAGGGUAACAAAAGCAACUCGGGGUUACAGAGUUAGAAGUUAGUGAUAUGCGUAAUGGCUGCUUUUGCAUUCACAUUAGGGGUCACAUAUACCCUAUUUUCUUGUAGUACAUGGUAAAUUCUAUUUGAAAAUUGCUCAGUAUUUUAGAUUUGUACGAAAUCAUUUUUGUGUGCUCGUUGGAUAAUAAUAUAUAAUAAAUUAAAAUUUUAGUGUAAUUUUCACAAUAUUGUAUUAGAAAUAUGUCUCGUUGAAAGGUUUUGAAAUCGUUUGAUUGAUCAUAAUUGUUAUUUCGACAGUUGCAAAAGAUGCCAGAGAAAAUUUGAUUAUCUUAAGAAAUGAGUGCAUGAGAUAUGAAAUCAACCAUACCAUAAAAUCAAAUUUUAUCGUUUCAUUCUUCCUGGUUCAAAUUUAUGGAAACAAUAAUCAAAUGCACCCAUGAACUAGUAUAUUCCGACAUAUGUACCAUCAAAUUUUUGCUAUAUCAUACUUAUAUAUGUAUAUUGAAAUUUUAAUAACAACAAUUGGGCCAAGCGUAUGUUGGUACUUGAAGAUUUAUAAGCUCCAUCCUUGAAAAAAUAAGGCUUGAUUGUUCUCAAUCUAAUUCUUUUUGUUUUAAGUUCUUAAUUAAGCUUUCUUGCUUGUUUUCAAGAGCCAGUUUUGUAGUGAUCGAAAAACAUGAUUUGCAUGUAAUGCACUUGGCAUUUAUGCGUCACUUAUUAAUUAGAUUUAAAUUUUAUAAAUUAGUUAAGCUGAUUAAUACUGUGCAUGUGCACUAAAUGAUAAAUACUACAUAAAUUGGUAGGAGUGGGCAAAACCGGGUUCGGGUCGGGUCGGGUUCGGAUCAACCCGAUCGGAUUUCGGGUUGUUCGGGUUUAACAAAAAUUAAUCCGAAUACAACCCGAACUUCCCACCCGACCCGAUCCGAUCCGAUUUAUAUUCGGAUUGGGUCAGGUCGGGUUGUGAAUUCAGGUUGAAAUCGGGUAGGAUCGGGUUGACCAAUUUCCUUGAUUUUGUUACUACCAUUUAAAAACACAUAAUUACAACAAUUAAAUACUAAAUAUUAAUUGUUUAAUUUAACCAUAUGCACCAUCAAUUCAAAUCUUUAAAAAAAAAAGCUUAAAAAAAGCGUGAAAACUCAAGAUUCAAAGUCAAAGGUGAGAAGCUCGGGUUGAAGGAUUGGAGCAGCAGAAGCACCUUGCAGCAGAUUCGCGGCACUUGCAGUAGAUCGGUGGCCGCGGCACUUGUAGCAGCAGACCGACGGACGCGUAGUAGCAUAUUGGCGGCACUUGCAGCAAAUCGGGCAUGGAGACGCGCGGCAAAUCGGCCAUGGAGAUGCGGGUGAGGCUGUGACUUGUGCAACGACCUCCGUUGGCAGCUUGGCGUUGGCCCAACGCCGUUGGGGGUGACUGUGUAUGUGUUUUGUGUAUUGAGAUUGGGGAUUGUGUAAUGAGAUUGGGGAUUGAGGAGAGUUGUGAGUGUUUGUGUAAGUAACCGUGUGUUGUGAAAAUGGGAAUUGUGAUUUGUGUGUGCUGCGUGUGUGUGGCUGUUUGCUUUAGGUUUAGUUUUUUUUUUUUAUAGCAACCCGAUCGGGUUUCGGAUCGGAUCGAACCCAAUCCGAUCAUAACCCGAUCGGGUUUCAUUGUUUUGAUCCGAUCGGGUUUUCUGCACAACCCCAUCCGAUCCGAACCUGAAAUUUUUCGGGUCGGGUCGGGUCGGAUCGGGUAAUUUGCCCACCCCUAUAAAUUGGGACACUAGUAACUAUGCAUCCCAACCAUGUAAUAUUUAUUUGUCACGAAACCAACCACGACAUGAUAUUCUUAAUAUUAUUUAGGAUACCAUUUCAAGCCCCAUGAGGGCUCCUUCCGUUAAAUAAAAAAAAAAGGUAUGAAAUAGGUGUAGAUUUUACUUUAGAUAUUAUUAGUGAGAGUACCUUUGGUGGCAAUGGUCCGAGAUGAUUUGGGAUUUGACCAUUCUACUCUCAUCUUAAUUAUCAAAUGGAAUGUAAGUAUGGAUAAACUCGUCCUGUUUAUAUAUUUGUGAUCAAAAUUAGGACCAAUCUCAAACCCCUCACAAUCAUUUAUAUUAUUGCACCAGUUUAACAAUAAGAUUUACGAAACACAUACGACUGUUUUUAUAACUAAAAGUAUUUUUAAGCUACAAGAUUACCAAAAUGACCCUAAAUCAAACCAAUAAAAAUGUUUUAAAGUAAUAAUAAUAAACCAGAGUAAACGUACAAAAAUUCAUGCAUAAAUUGAUAAUCAACAAAAACAUCCAAAAGUUUAACUCCAAGUUUUCUAUUCAAUUGACAUAACCCUUAAAUUUCAAAAGGUAUAAUCAAUUUUGUGUCUAAUCCUAUAAAAUUAGAAAAUUAAAGAAUAUUAUAUAUUGAUAAUUAAAUAAUAUGCAAUUAAUAAUGUUUAAAAAAAUAAUGUUAAACAUAUUGUCAACUAAAAUAAUUGGGAGAAUUGGAGUUCCAAGAUAAAUUCUUAUCUAGUCCCAAAUCAACAAUUGUGAUUAAUUUCAAUCUUAAACUUUGAAACUCGGACUGCUUUUAAAAUUGGUCCUAAUAAUAUGGACAAAUCCCAUUCUGAUCAAUAUGGAAUCCCAAUCCAUACCUUUGGAUUUCGAUGGUGUUUAGUUGGAGGGAGGAGAGGAAGGAAAUGAAUUCAAAUUCCUUUCACUUUCCUGUUGUUUGGUUUUCACUAAUAAAUGGGAAUUCAAUUUCUAUUGAAAUUUAAUUUUCAUCAAAUUGUGCAUUUUGGAUUCCUCACCGAAGGCUGUAAAAUUCAAAUUCCCUUUCUAUUAGAAAUCGAAUCUUCCAAAAUUGCUCCAAUCAAAUUUUUAUCAAUUAUUUUAAUUAUUAUCAAAUAAUUCUUAUUUAUGAUUUUAUUUUUUCAAUUUAAAUUGUCACUAAGGAGUCGGACUUACUACCACAGAAAAGAAAAAAAAUAAUUUAGUCAGCUGAACUAAUUUUUGUUUUUUUUUUUUUUUAUUAACUUUGAAAUAUUGCAUACAUAACGAGCUGCUAUUGAAAUUAGUGUUAAAAAAAAAAUAGAUGCAAAAGGAGAAACAAGCAUCAUGUGCAGUACCCACUGUGAAAUAUUCACAUUGGAAUAAGUCGUUGGCAGCUGGUCUGUUUGGCCAUUAAUAUUUUGACAUUCAAUGUUCAUUAUGAUCCUAGUAAAUUAAGCCAUAAAAAAUCUAUUGAAAUUACUCACCGUACAAUGAUGGUUGGAGCUGCAUGUAUCAUUUAUUGUUAACAACAAACUUAUGAAAUGCUUUGAAUGUACCUCCGAGGUUGUAUUUACUAUACUAGUUAGGAGAAAUUACGAAGUUAAAUUAUUUGAUAAAUACUUAUUAUAAUUUGAAAAAUAUGUUAAUUUUGUCCUCCACUUUAUGAUAAAAAAUUUAUAAUAUAUAUAAAUCAUUCAUUCUAUAAUCUUGAAUUUUAUUAAAGUUAGAAAAACUAUUACUCUACAUGAUAUAAUAGUGUGAUGUUAUUACACUAUUAUACCAUAUAAAAUAUAUUUACUUUCUUAAAUUUUAAUAAAGUCUAGGUCUUGGAGAGAAGCACUUUAUAUAUAUAUGUAUAUAUGAUUAUUGUCUAGUGACAACAUUCUCAUUUUAACAAAGUGAUGAUAUAUCUAACUAAAAAACGCAUAUUUCAAUACACCAAUAGAUUAAAAAAAAUACAGUUUUUAAUAUGUUAAAAUCUAUAUAUUUUGUAUUAUUAAUAUUUUCACUUUAACAAAGUGGGGUCUCCUCACUAUAGAAGUACUUUAUAAAUAUUCUUUAUAUUUUUGUGAAAAUUAUUAUUUAAAAGUCAUAUUUUCCUAAAAACUAAUAACUUUUAUUUUAUUACUAUGCUGUACUUUUCAAGACAUAACACCUCAAUACCAUGACGUUAAUUAUUGAACUCUGCUGUACAAAGUUGUUGGCUGGUCUAUUUAGCUUAGUCUUUCAAUUAUUUGUCGUUUGAACUGAGAUGAUUCGAAUAAAGCUGUAUAUCAAUAAUUUCCUAGUGAAACUUCGAGAAAAAAUAAAAAUCAUGUCAUACAGUAGCAUUAUUUUUAUUUUCAGCUUGAUUAUGUUUUGAGUUAACUUAUAGAUUAUUUGAAAUAAAAAGAAUAUAAUUUAUUUUUUCUAACUAAAUAUUUUUAAAUAAUUUUGUUAAUUUAAUGAGUAAUUAUACACUUACAAAGUUAUGAUAUAAAAUUAUAUCCCUGAAUCCCAAUCAUAUGACACCAAUUAACUACUGCUAUGUGUUUCUUAGUAUUUAACUUUUUAUACUAUUAUUAAUGAGAUAAUUAUCUUCAACACCAAUAAAUAAAUUUUAUAUUAAUACAUCCUCUGACUUUAUUAUCAAAUGAUUAUAAAUCAUAAUCAAACCAAGCUACCAAAGCCUACUACUAAGAGAUUGAUUAAAGGGUUUUCCAAGAUUUCAAAUUGGAUGAAACUAUGGUGCAACGGUUGCACCGUACUACUCAAUUUUGUCUUUUUCAAUUAAUUACAUCUCAAUACCUAUAUUUUAUAAAAAAGUUGAAUAGACACUAGAAGUUACAAUUUUUUAUAUAUGAGUCCUCUUUUGGGAUAAAAAUGGAUUUUAAAAAAAUUUAACUGUUACUAUUAUUAAUAUUUAUAAAUUUCAUUAUUAUUAUAUUAAUAUUAUUGUUAUUAUUAUUAAAAUUUAUUAUUUUAAUUAUUGUCAUGUAUUAUUAUUACUACCAUAAAUGUCAUCAUUAUUAAUAUUAUUAUUAUCAUUAAAAUUUAUUAUUUUAUUAUUUUAAUUAUUAUGUAUUAUUAUUACUGUCAUUAAUUAUUAUUAUUAUGAAAUUAAUUUAUUUUAUUAUUUUAUUGUUACAAUUACUUUAAUUAAGUCAUUAUUAUUAUUUUAUUAAUUUUAUUACUAUUAUUAAAUAUAUUAACUUUAUUAUUUUAAUCAUGAUUAAUUAUUGUUAUUAUUAUUUUAUUAAUAGUAAUAUUAUUAAAAUUAUUAAUUUUAAUAUUUUAAUUAUUGUCAUGUAUUAUUAUUACUACCAUAAAUGUCAUCAUUAUUAAUAUUAAUAAUAAUAUUAUUAUUAUCAUUAAAAUUUAUUAUUUUAUUAUUUUAAUUAUUAUGUAUUAUUACUAGGGGUGGGCACGGUUCGGUUCGGUUUGGUUCGGUUCGGAUCGAAAUUAAGUAGAACCGAUUUAAAUCGGUUAUUUUAUAAAAAGAACCGAAUAAGAACCGAACUCAAACGGAUCUUUUCGGAUCGGUUCGGUUCGGUUCGGUUUUUUGGUUCUAGGUCUAUUAGGCCUAUUUUAAAAUUUCAAAUUUUUAGCCCAUUGGACCUCAUAAAUGUAAUAAUUGUUUUCAACAAUUAGUUCAUCCUAAUUUCAUUACAAAUAUUAACAAUAAAUACAAAGUAUUCAAAACACAUUUUAUCACUAAUAUCUUAUUAACUACUAAUAAGGUACUCACAAAAUAUGAAAUAUUAAAAUUUCAAAAUACAUAACCAAACUCCAAUACUCCAUCUACAUAAACAUAAUCAUAAUGUUGUAAAGACAAAUAAAAAUAACAACAAUUACAACUUACAACACAAAAUAAAAAGAAAAUUUAGAAACAAACGCCAACAACAUUCUCCCAUCUUCACCCAAAAAAAAAAAUUGCAAACAAAUGCCAACAACAUUCUCCCAUCUUCAUGAAUAUCAACAUCAACUUUAGGCAUUUUCGACUCAAUAUUUGGAUUUAUAAAAAAAAAUUUAACACAUGUCGAUUUGAAUAAAAUAUAAAAUUAAUUCGGUUUUUCGGUUCAGCUAAGUGAACCGAAUACCGAACCGACAUUUCGGUUUUUUUUUACAAAUGAUAUAUUUCGGUUUUUUUUAAAAUAAAAACCGAUCCAAAUUCGAAAAAACCACCGGUUCGGUUCGGUGUUUUUAAGACCACGGUUUUUUUGCCCACCCCUAAUUAUUACUGUCAUUAAUUAUUAUUAUUAUUAUGAAAUUAAUUAAUUUUAUUAUUUUAUUGUUACAAUUACUUUAAUUAAGUCAUUAUUAAUUAUUAAUUUUAUUACUAUUAUUAAAAAUAUAUUGGCUUUAUUAUUUUAAUCAUUAUUAAUUAUUGUUAUUAUUAUUUUAUUAAUAGUAAUAUUAUUAAAAUUAUUUAAUUUUAAUAUUUUAAUUAUUGUCAUGUAUUAUUAUUACUACCAUAAAUGUCAUCAUUAUUAAUAUUAUUAUGAAAUUACUUAUUUUACUCAUUAUUAAUUAUUAUUAUCAUUAAAAUUUAUUAUUUAUUAUUUUAAUUAUUAUGCAUUAUUAUUGCUGUCAUUAAUUAUUAUUAUUAUGAAAUUAAUUAAUUUUAUUAUUUUAAUUGUUACAAUUACUUUAAUUAAGUUAUUAUUAUUUAUUAAUUUUAUUACUAUUAUUAAAAUAUAUUAACUUUAUUAUUAUUAUUAUUAUUAUUAUUAUUAUUAUUAUUAUUAUUAUUAUCAUUAAAAUUUAUUAUUUAUUAUUUUAAUUAUUAUGCAUUAUUAUUGCUGUCAUUAAUUAAUAUUAUUAUUAUUAUAAAAUUAAUUAAUUUUAUUAUUUUAAUUGUUACAAUUAUUUUAAUUAAGUUAUUAUUAUUUAUUAAUUUUAUUACUAUUAUUAAAAUAUAUUAACUUUAUUAUUAUUAUUAUUAUUAUCAUUAAAAUUUAUUAUUUAUUAUUUUAAUUAUUAUGCAUUAUUAUUGCUGUCAUUAAUUAAUAUUAUUAUUAUUAUAAAAUUAAUUAAUUUUAUUAUUUUAAUUGUUACAAUUACUUUAAUUAAGUUAUUUUUAUUUAUUAAUUUUAUUACUAUUAUUAAAAUAUAUUAACUUUAUCAUUUUAAUUAUUAUUAUUAUUUUAUUAAUAGUAAUAUUAUUAAAAUUUAUUAUUCUAAUUAUUAUAUUAUUAUUAAUGUUGUCAACAUCAUCAUCAUCAACAUUAUUAAAGUUUACAUAUUUUUUUGUUUUAAGUAAUAUUAUUGUCAUUAUUAUUAUUUUACCUUAAGUAAAUAUUUAAAAACUUUUAGUUUUUAUGAUUUUGUAACUUACGGUCAGACUGUGAAAUAGUUAGAUAAUCAUUAAUUAUUAUUAUUAUUAACAAUUUAAUAAAAAUAUUAUUAAUUAUUGUUAAUAGAUUAAUUAAUUAUAAUGUUUUUUAUUCUUGUAUUAAUAAUAAAAAUAAUCUAUUUAAAAAAUAUUUAUGAUUAUAAUAAAAUAACAAUUAUAAUUAUAAUUCAUUUAACAAUAAUUAUAUUUUUUAAAUAAUGGAGGUUAUUUGGAAAAUUUAAAAUUAUAGGGGCAAAUUCAUACUCUAGGGUUUUAAUAAAAUAAAAUUGAGUAUAAGGGGUUAAACGAAAUUUUAUAUUUCAAAAAGUUUAUAAUAUUCAUGAAUAAAAUAUAAAUAACAUAGAAUAUGGGGGGUUAUAUAAAAUUUCACAGGCUGACCGUAAGUUACGUUAAAUGUAUAACUUAGGCGGACCUUUAGUGAAAUGCACAAAUGGCACAAGGGACCCCGCCAACCGUUAAGUCACAUCAUUUAUUUAUUUGUGAAUGAAAAAUAAGGUCCUUAUGCUAGUUUGACGAUUAUAAGUUAUCAUCACAAGGUUGUUGGGCGCAUGCAUACUGAGUCACAGCACUGAGAUUCAACUUUUCUGUACAAUAAGAGUUUAUUUGUCUUUUUGUAUUGGGAUAAAAUGGAUCUCCCUCCAACUUUAAGUAAGGCUUAAUAUUCAGGCUGUGCUGUAAUAGAAUUAUUGAGGAGAGUUUCAUUUUUUAUUGUAAAUAUCAGUAGAGCUCUCAUUGUAAUAUAUCAGUCUAUCAAAAAAAAGUUAUCAUCCCAAUAACUUUGGACUUUGAUAUUAAUUUUACUAAUUAUGAAAUUCAUUAUCUAAUAAAAAAAAUAACACAUAACAAUUGGGUCUCAAAUUAGAAUUCUACUAUCGAAAUUCCUAGCAUUAUUCUAAUAUUAAAAAUUCAUCAAAAUAAUAUCUAUUAUCUAAAAAAAUAAAAUAAAAAUCUAAAGCCAUAGAUUUACUUUUCAAUCUUCCUGAUUUGGCUGAUUUCUUUUAAAGCUUUGGUUUCUUUAUAUUUUUAUCGAUCAUUUUAGCGGUGCUGGCAUUUGAUUUUUUUGACUAAGCUACUGUUUAGUUCUAAGUUUUGGCAAUUGCCCGGACUGCUCUGUUUUGUGUAUCUUCGACACAACAAGGCUUAGCAUCUAAAUGUCGGCAGCCACGCAACUUCUUGGAAUCUUCGUGCAAGUGUUGGAUAUCGACUGUUCGAUAAUGAUGGCAGCAUGGGACUGGAGUGUAAUUGACGCAGUGGAAUAAAGAUCACAUGUCUCAAACUUUUGGCGAAGAUAUUGUCAGAUAUUUUAUUGAUUAAGGAUCACAAAUAAUGGAUAUUGGAUGAGAAUCACAUGCUUUACCACAAUCGUAAUGUUACUAAUGUAAGUCAAGCAAUUAUUUUUAAAUAAUGAUAUUAUAAUUAAAAAAUAAAUAAAUAUUUAUAAUAUUUAAAAGAGUAAUUCCGAUUAUUAAUUUUUUUAUAUUACUUAAUUAUUAGCUGACAAAUAAUUAAAAGGUUAUAGAACAGGACUCAGCUACCUUACAACAGUUGCAAGGUACCACCAAAUUUUGACUUUUCUUAAUUUCAGUUUUUUAUCAUUAGAUUUAAUGAAAAGGUGGUUUCAAUGGUAGAGAUUUGUUCAUUUAAAUAUUAACAUUACACUCCUUGAUAUUUAUUAAAGACACAAACAAGUUAAAGAGUUUAAAAUUUUAACACAUAAGUCCGGAUUGUUUACAAUUUAUAUUGUUUAAUUAGUAGUGAGUAUUAAAAAAUAAAUAUUAUUUUUAAUAUUAUAUAUUUUAUUUAAAAGAAUAAAUAAAUAUUAUUUAAUAUUAUUUAUUCCAUUUUAUUUAAUAUUAUUUAGUCAUAUACUUAUUAUUAUAUUUAUUCUUUCAAAAAACUAAAUAACAUUAAAUAAAAUAAAAUAAUCAUUAGGGCGCUUUAAAAAUAAAUAUUAUUUUUAUUUUUGUUUUAUUUAAUCAUUGGCUUAUUAUUAUAUUUAUUAUUUUAAAAAAUAAAUAAUAUUAAGUAAAAUAAAAUAAUCAAUAAUGACUGUUAAAAUUAAUAUUAUUUUUACUUAGUCAUAGGCUUAUAAUUAUAUUUAUUCUUUAAAAACUGAAUAAUAUUAAAAAAUCAAUAGUGUCUUAAAAAUAAUAUCAUUUUAAUAUUAUUUAUUUUAUUUAAGUUAAAUUUUAAUAUUAUUUAUUUUAUUUAAGUUAAAAUUUUAAUAUUAUUUAUUUAAUUUAAAUUUUUUAAUAUUAUUUAUUUUAUUUAAUAUUAUUUAGUCAUAGGCUUAUUAUUAUAUUUAUUCUUUUUUAUAAAGAUAAAUAAUGUUAAAUAAAAUAAAAUUACAUUUUAUAAAAGUUACCAGCGAAAGCAUACAAAAUUAUAAAUAAAUGUAAAAAAAUAAAUAAUAUUAAAUAAAAUAAAAUUACAUUUUAAAAUGUCACUAGCUAAAACAUAUAAACUUAUAAAUAAAAUGUAAAUAAGAAAGAAAGUAAGGUAUUAAAUGAAAUGUAACGUCACAUAAAACAAAAAUAAGUGGCACAUUACAACUGUUGCAAGAUAGCUGGACUCAUAAAACAAUAUUUUUAGGUCAAAUUUUUAUUCUGAUACGACACAACUUGUACUUUCAUUCCUAUGCUAAAAUAUAUCUAACCUACUAAUAGUCAAGAAAUAUAUCUAUUCAACACAUAUUUGUUAGAAAGAUUAUCUACUAAUUAAUCAUUGAGACGAGAUUACGAGCCUCAACAUAAAUUAGGAUAAAAAUUAAUAUAUUGAAAUUCAUAAUUUUUUUUUUCCUUCAGCAGUUUAAAAUGGAGUCGCCCACUAGUACUGAAAUAAUUUUAUCAGAUUCGCUUGAAAGUAGUUUUACAAGCAAGCAGUUUUUCCCUCUUGAUCCCCGUAAUCGUCAGCUCCUACUCUUUGCCUUCAAUUCUCAGUCAAGAAAACCUCUCCUGAUUUUCGUCUUUUGAUCUCAUACACACUUUGCUUCUGUUCAUCGUGGUCGCUGCUCGUGCUAGCCGUUUUCUUAUUUAGCUUUGUUCCCUUUUGCCAUCAGCUCUUCGCAUUUUCAUUGGAUCAAGCAACCCUUUUCUUGAUUCAAUUGUCUGAUCUCAAAAACACUUUGAUUCUCUUCUGUUACGCUGAUUUUCCCUUGUUUUGUACAAAUAUCAUUUCUUUUUUCAACUUUGCCUUGUUUUGCUUCUGCUUGAUUAUCAAUUGCGCGGCCGUUGACCCUGUUCUAUUUCUAUUUCGUUCACUUCCCCAAAAAAUAAAAAAUGGACAUUUUGAAAAGCAUUGUUCCAGGAGUUGUGAACUGCUUGUCUCCUCACGCACAACGCGAAUUUAGUUAUUGGUAUAACUCCGCUGCCAACUUUGAGAAUCUCAAGGCAGAACUCGAUAGGCUCAAGGAUGAAAGAGAAAGCAUUCAGCGCAGAGUUUCUGAGGCUGAAAGAAAAGGUGAAAAGAUUGAAGAGAAGGUUGAGAAAUGGCUGGUUAAUGCGAACAAGAGCAUUGAGGAGGCAGCCAAAUUCAUUCAAGACGAAGAGAAAGCAAAUGAACGAUGUCUCAUGGGGCUGUUUCCAAAUUGGAUUACUCGCUAUCAGCAUGGAAAGAAAGCAGAAACAGAGAAGGAGGCCCUUUUUAAACUCCGAGAAGAAGCUGGGAGAUUUGAUGAUAGAAUUUCCUACCGUACCGUUCCGGAGGAUAUAUGGCUCAAGUCUCACAAAGGCUACGAGGCCUUCGAAUCAAGACUUUCUACUUUGAAGGCCAUACAAAAUGCAUUGAUCGAUGUUGAUGUCAGCAUCAUUGGGGUGUACGGCAUGGGCGGCGUUGGAAAGACGACACUGGUGAAGAAGGUCGCCAGGCAAGCUAUGGAAGACAAGCUCUUUGAUAUGGUGGUCUUUUCAGAGGUUUCGCAAACUCCAGACAUAAAAAAGAUUCAACAGGAAAUUGCCGAGAAGUUGGGCCUGGAGUUGCACGAGGAAGUUGAAUCUAGAAGAGCUAGUAGGCUAUGUGAGCGAUUGAGAAAUGAGAAGAAGAUCCUUGUGAUUCUGGAUAACAUCUGGAAACACCUUGAUUUGGAGACCGUUGGAAUUCCUUUUGGAGAAGAUCAUAAAGGAUGCAAACUACUGCUG